UACAGAGGGGGCUAGCGUUAUUCGGAAUUAUUGGGCGUAAAGGGCGCGUAGGCGGCCAUGCGUGUCUUCCGUGAAAUCCCUCGGCUUAACUGAGGACGUGCGGAAGAAACUGCAAGGCUCGAGUCCGGGAGAGGUGAGUGGAAUUCCCAGUGUAGCGGUGAAAUGCGUAGAUAUUGGGAGGAACACCAGUGGCGAAGGCGGCUCACUGGACCGGUACUGACGCUGAUGCGCGAAAGCGUGGGGAGCAAACAGG
rnacentral:rRNA from 1 species